AAAAACCUCGCCCGAAUUGAUCAAACAUAACCUUUUUCUCAAUAACAUCAAGAAUAAAGUGAUGGACAUUUAAAUGUUCAUCACUAUUUCCCCGGAAUUCUUCAAACUUCAACAAAAUCCAAACCACUAACACAAACCUCCAUAAAAUUCAUUCUCGACCCCAAAUCCACAAACAAUUUCAUCAAACACACCAAAAAACAUGUUGAUCUAAACCUUCAACCCCAAGAAUGCUAACCCCAAUUCAUUAAGUAAUCUCCUAACUACACGAGCUUAGUACAAAUUACUAAAGGGGUAAGGUAAACCGAGCAUAAAAAAAAUAAACUAAGAAAAAAUACCAAAAAUAAAUUCCAACAAAG
rnacentral:lncRNA from 1 species